AUACGGAGGAGGCAAGCGUUGUUCGGAAUUAUUGGGCUUAAAGCGCGUGUAGGCGGACCGGUCAGUGUCUUGUGAAAGCCCCCGGCUCAACCGGGGAAUUGCUGGGCAUACUGCCGGCCUUGAGGCAGGUAGGGGCGGGUGGAACUCUAGGUGGAGCGGUGAAAUGCGUAGAUAUCUAGAGGAACGCCGGUGGCGAAAGCGACCCGCUGGGCCUGUUCUGACGCUGAGACGCGAAAGCGUAGGGAGCAAACGGGAUUAGAAACCCCAGUAGUCC
rnacentral:rRNA from 1 species